rnacentral:ribozyme from 12 species
ACAACAUGAUGGUAUUUUAUUCUCUGUUUUUGUUUUUGUUUUUGUUUGUCGUCAUGGGAUGUUUCCUUUUUCUUGAUUAAAUCUUGUGCCAAUUUGAUAGAACGG